AAUCAACGCUGGCGGCGUGCCUAACACAUGCAAGUCGAACGCGAAAGUUCCGCAAGGAAUUAGUAGAGUGGCAAACGGGUGAGUAACACGUGGGUGACCUGCCUUCGAGUGGGGGAUAACGUCCCGAAAGGGACGCUAAUACCGCAUAACAUCCCGCCUUUUAAGAGGUGGAAAUCAAAGCUGGGGAUCGCAAGACCUGGCGCUUGAAGA
rnacentral:rRNA from 1 species